rnacentral:rRNA from 1 species
UAAGGAAUAUUGGUCAAUGGAGGCAACUCUGAACCAGCCAUGCCGCGUGCAGGAAGACGGCCCUCUUGGUUGUAAACUGCUUUUAUUCGGGAAUAAACCUGCUUACGUGUAAGUAGCUGAAUGUACCGAAGGAAUAAGUAUCGGCUAACCCCGUGCCAGCAGCCGCGGUAAUACGGAGGAUCCAAGCGUUAUCCGGAUUUAUUGGGUUUAAAGGGUGCGUAGGCGGCUUAUUAAGUCAGGGGUGAAAGACGGUGGCUCAACCAUCGCAGUGGCCUUGAUACUGGUGAGCUUGAAUGAACUAGAGGUAGGCGGAAUGUGACAAGUAGCGGUGAAAUGCAUAGAUAUGUCACAGAACACCGAUUGCGAAGGGAGCUUACUAUGGUUUUAUUGACGCUGAAGCUCGAAAGCGUGGGGAACAAACA